rnacentral:snRNA from 1 species
AUCGCUUCUCGGCCUUUUGGCUAAGAUCAAGUGAAGAAUAAACAUUACAAACAUUUAUUUUUUUUUUUUUUGCAGUUUCU